GAUCCGGUACCGGCUGGGCAUGCGGCGCAUUAGCUAGUUGGCGGGGCAACGGCCCACCAAGGCGACGAUGCGUAGGGGUUCUGAGAGGAAGGUCCCCCACACUGGAACUGAGACACGGUCCAGACUCCUACGGGAGGCAGCAGUGAGGAAUAUUGGUCAAUGGGCGCAAGCCUGAACCAGCCAAGUCGCGUGAGGGAAGACGGCCCUACGGGUUGUAAACCUCUUUUGCCGGGGAGCAAGCCUGAGCACGUGUGCCCAGGCGGAGAGUACCCGGAGAAAAAGCAUCGGCUAACUCCGUGCCAGCAGCCGCGGUAAUACGGAGGAUGCGAGCGUUAUCCGGAUUUAUUGGGUUUAAAGGGUGCGCAGGCGGUCUGUUAAGCCGGCGGUAAAAAUUCAGGGCUCAACCCCGGCCCAGCCGUCGAAACUGGCAGUCUUGAGUGGGAGAGAAGUAUGCGGAAUGCGUGGUGUAGCGGUGAAAUGCAUAGAUAUCGCGCAGAACUCCGAUUGCGAAGGCAGCAUGCCGGCUCCACACUGACGCUGAGGCACGAAAGCGUGGGUAUCGAACAGGAUUAGAUACCCUGGUAGUCCACGCAGUAAACGAUGAAUGCUGGCUGUCCGGGGGGACUGACCCCUGGGUGGCGAAGCGAAAGCGAUAAGCAUUCCACCUGGGGAGUACGCCGGCAACGGUGAAACUCAAAGGAAUUGACGGGGGCCCGCACAAGCGGAGGAACAUGUGGUUUAAUUCGAUGAUACGCGAGGAACCUUACCCGGGCUCAAACGGGGAGUGGCGCAGGCAGAGACGCCUGUUUCCCACGGGACACUCCCCGAGGUGCUGCAUGGUUGUCGUCAGCUCGUGCCGUGAGGUGUCGGCUUAAGUGCCAUAACGAGCGCAACCCCCGCGUGCAGUUGCUAACAGAUAACGCUGAGGACUCUGCACGGACUGCCGGCGCAAGCCGCGAGGAAGGCGGGGAUGACGUCAAAUCAGCACGGCCCUUACGUCCGGGGCGACACACGUGUUACAAUGGGUGGUACAGCGGGAAGCCAGGCGGCGACGCCGAGCGGAACCCGAAAUCCACUCUCAGUUCGGAUCGGAGUCUGCAACCCGACUCCGUGAAGCUGGAUUCGCUAGUAAUCGCGCAUCAGCCAUGGCGCGGUGAAUACGUUCCCGGGCCUUGUACACACCGCCCGUCAAGCCAUGGGAGCCGAGGGCGCUUGAAGUGCGUCGCCGCGAGGCGCGCCCUAGAGCGAAAUCGGUGACUGGGGCUAAGUCGUAACAAGGUAGCCGU
rnacentral:rRNA from 1 species